AUUGAACGCUGGCGGCAGGCCUAACACAUGCAAGUCGAACGAGUGGCGGACGGGUGAGUAAUGUCUGGGAAACUGCCUGAUGGAGGGGGAUAACUCCUGGAAACGGUAGCUAAUACCGCAUACCAUCGGAUGUGCCCAGAUGGGAUUAGCUAGUAGGUGGGGUAAAGGCUCACCUAGGCGACGAUCCCUAGCUGGUCUGAGAGGAGGACCAGCCACACUGGAACUGAGAGACGGGCCAGACUACGACGGGAGGCAGCAGUGGGGAAUAUUGCACAAGGGGCGGAAGCCUGAUGCAGCCAUGCCGAGUGUAUGAAGAAGGCCUGCGGGUUGUAAAGUACUUUCAGCGGGGAGGCGUUACCAGCAGAAGAAGCACCGGCUAACUCCGUGCCAGCAGCCGCGGUAAUUC
rnacentral:rRNA from 1 species